rnacentral:rRNA from 1 species
AUUGAACGCUGGCGGCAGGCCUAACACAUGCAAGUCGAACGAGUGGCGGACGGGAGAGUAAUGUGUGGGAAAGGGCGCGAGGGAGGGGGAUAAAUACCGGAAACGGUAGCUAAUACCGAAAACCAUCGGAUGGGUCCAGAUGGGAUUAGCUAGUGGGUGGGGUAACGGCUCACCUAGGCGACGAUCCGUAGCUGGUCUGAGAGGAUGACCAGCCACACUGGAACUGAGACACGGUCCAGACUCCUACGGGAGGCAGCAGUGGGGAAUAUUGGACAAUGGGCGAAAGCCUGAUGCAGCCAUGCCGCGUGUGUGAAGAAGGCCUUCGGGUUGUAAAGUACUUUAAGCGGGGAGGCGUUACUCGCAGAAGAAGCACCGGCUAACUCCGUGCCAGCAGCCGCGGUAAUAC